GACGAACGCUGGCGGCGUGCUUAACACAUGCAAGUCGAACGGAAAGGCCCUGCUUGCAGGGUACUCGAGUGGCGAACGGGUGAGUAACACGUGGGUGAUCUGCCCUGCACUUCGGGAUAAGCCUGGGAAACUGGGUCUAAUACCGGAUAGGAGCCAUUUUUAGUGUGAUGGUUGGAAAGUUUUUUCGGUGUAGGAUGAGCUCGCGGCCUAUCAGCUUGUUGGUGGGGUAAUGGCCUACCAAGGCGGCGACGGGUAGCCGGCCUGAGAGGGUGGACGGCCACAUUGGGACUGAGAGACGGCCCAGACUCCGACGGGAGGCAGCAGUGGGGAAUAUUGCACAAUGGGCGCAAGCCUGAUGCAGCGACGCCGCGUGGGGGAUGACGGCCUUCGGGUUGUAAACUCCGUUCGCUAGGGACGAAGCUUUUUGUGACGGUACCUAGACAAGAAGCACCGGCUAACUACGUG
rnacentral:rRNA from 1 species